UACGUAGGGGGCAAGCGUUGUCCGGAAUUAUUGGGCGUAAAGCGCACGUAGGCGGUUCGUUAAGUCGGAUGUGAAAGCCCUCGGCUCAACUGAGGAAGUGCACCCGAAACUGGCGAGCUUGAGUACGAAAGAGGAUCGCGGAAUUCCCGGUGUAGAGGUCGGAAAUUCGUAGAUAUCGGGAAGGAACACCGGUGGCGAAGGCGGGCGAUCUGGGUCGAUACUGACGCGUGAGGUGCGAAACGUGG
rnacentral:rRNA from 1 species